rnacentral:lncRNA from 1 species
AAGAGGCUGUUCUCCCUCUGCAAGUGGACACAGAAGAGGUUGUUCUCCCUCUGCAAGUGGACACAGAAGACUGAGGUUGUUCUCCCUCUGCAAGUGGACACAGAAGACACAGGCUGUUCUCCCUCUGCAAGUGGACACAGAAGACACAGGCUGUUCUCCCUCUGCAAGUGGACGCAGAAGAGGUUGUUCUCCCUCUGCAAGUGGACACAGAAGACUGAGGUUGUUCUCCCUCUGCAAGUGGACACAGAAGACACAGGCUGUUCUCCCUCUGCAAGUGGACACAGAAGAGGCUGUUCUCCCUCUGCAAGUGGACACAGAAGACACAGGCUGUUCUCCCUCUGCAAGUGGACACAGAAGACACAGGCUGUUCUCCCUCUGCAAGUGGACACAGAAGACACAGGCUGUUCUCCCUCUGCAAGUGGACACAGAAGACACAGGCUGUUCUCCCUCUGCAAGUGGACACAGAAGACACAGGCUGUUCUCCCUCUGCAAGUGGACACAGAAGACACAGGCUGUUCUCCCUCUGCAAGUGGACACAGAAGACACAGGCUGUUCUCCCUCUGCAAGUGGACACAGAAGACACAGGCUGUUCUCCCUCUGCAAGUGGACGCAGAAGACACACUGUUCUCCCUCUGCAAGUGGACACAGAAGGCAGAGGCUGUUCUCCCUCUGCAAGUGGACACAGAAGACACAGGCUGUUCUCCCUCUGCAAGUGGACACAGAAGACACAGGCUGUUCUCCCGCUGCAAGUGGACACAGAAGACAGAGGCUGUUCUCCCUCUGCAAGUGGACACAGAAGACAGAGGCUGUUCUCCCUCUGCAAGUGGACACAGAAGACAGAGGCUGUUCUCCCUCUGCAAGUGGACACAGAAGACACAGGCUGUUCUCCCUCUGCAUGUGGACACAGAAGAGGCUGUUCUCCCUCUGCAAGUGGACACAGAAGACACAGGCUGUUCUCCCUCUGCAUGUGGACACAGAAGAGGCUGUUCUCCCUCUGCAAGUGGACACAGAAGAGGCUGUUCUCCCUCUGCAAGUGGACACAGAAGAAGUCACGUGAAGACUAGAAGGCGGCCGUACACAAGCCAGGGCAGGAGGCCUCACCAGAAACCAACCCGACAGCACGUUGACCUUGAACUUCUGGCUUCCAGAACUAUGGAAAGGUUCGUUUGUGUUCUGCAAGCCACCCACGGGAUGGUAUUUCACCACGGCAGCCCCUGUACACAGAGGGGUGACAGACAGAUGGAAAGCAACGGAUUAAUAAUGAAGUAG